rnacentral:rRNA from 1 species
UGAGGAAUAUUGGUCAAUGGGCGAAAGCCUGAACCAGCCAAGUAGCGUGCAGGAUGACGGCCCUAUGGGUUGUAAACUGCUUUUAGGCGGGGGUAAAGGGGCGGACGUGUUCCGCCUUUGCAAGUACCGCCAGAAAAAGGACCGGCUAAUUCCGUGCCAGCAGCCGCGGUAAUACGGAGGAUGCGAGCGUUAUCCGGAUUUAUUGGGUUUAAAGGGUGCGCAGGCGGCGUGCCAAGUCAGCGGUCAAAGUUCCGGGCUCAACCCGGUGAUGCCGUUGAAACUGGUGUGCUUGAGUGCGUGCGAGGGAGGCGGAAUGCGUUGUGUAGCGGUGAAAUGCAUAGAUAUGACGCAGAACUCCGAUUGCGAAGGCAGCUUUCCAGCACGCCACUGACGCUGAGGCACGAAAGCGUGGGGAUCGAACAGGAUUAGAUACCCUGGUAGU